rnacentral:rRNA from 1 species
GAUGAACGCUGGCGGUAUGCUUAACACAUGCAAGUCGAACGGUCACUUCGUUGAUAGUGGCGGACGUGUGAUUAACGCGUGAUAAUCUGUCUUCAGGUCGGGUACAACAGUUAGAAAUGACUGCUAAUACCGGUUGUGCCUUUGGGUGAUAGGUUUAUUGCCUGAAAAAGAGCUCGAGUCAGAUUAGCUAGUAGGUGGUUUAAGAGACUACCUAGGCUCCGAUCUGUAGCUGGUCUGAGAGGACGAUCAUCCACACUGGAACUGAGACACAGUCGAGACUGCUACGGAAGGCAGCAGAGGGGAAUAUAACGGAAUGGGCGAAAGCGUGACGGAGCAAUAGCGGGUGAGGGACGAAGAGUUUUGGGAAGUAAACCUCUUUUCUAAAGGAAGAUGAUGACGGUACUUGAGGAAUAAGCAUCGGCUAACUAUGUG